AUCGGUGCUUAUGGCGGUGAGGUCACACCCGUUCCCAUUCCGAACACGGAAGUUAAGCUCACUAGCGAUGAUGAUACUUGGCUGGCGACGGCCUGGGAAAGUAAUACGGUGCCGAUA
rnacentral:rRNA from 1 species